GAUGAACGCUAGCUACAGGCUUAACACAUGCAAGUCGAGGGGAAACGCAUCGAAAGCUUGCUUUUGGUGGGCGUCGACCGGCGCACGGGUGAGUAACGCGUAUCCAACCUGCCCACCACUUGGGGAUAACCUUGCGAAAGUAAGACUAAUACCCAAUGAUAUCCCACGAAGGCAUCCGAAUGGGAUUAAAGAUUUAUCGGUGAUGGAUGGGGAUGCGUCUGAUUAGCUUGUUGGCGGGGUAACGGCCCACCAAGCCCACGAUCAGUAGGGGUUCUGAGAGGAAGGUCCCCCCACAUUGGAACUGAGACACGGUCCAAACUCCUACGGGAGGCAGCAGUGAGGAAUAUUGGUCAAUGGACGGAAGUCUGAACCAGCCAAGUAGCGUGCAGGAAGACGGCCCUAUGGGUUGUAAACUGCUUUUAUGUGGGAAUAAAGUGAGGGACGUGUCCCUUUUUGUAGGUACCACAUGAAUAAGGACCGGCUAAUUCCGUG
rnacentral:rRNA from 1 species